rnacentral:rRNA from 1 species
ACACAUGCAAGUCGAGGGGCAUCAGGAAGAAAGCUUGCUUUCUUUGCUGGCGACCGGCGCACGGGUGAGUAACACGUAUCCAACCUGCCCUUUACUCGGGGAUAGCCUUUCGAAAGAAAGAUUAAUACCCGAUAGCAUAAUGAUUCCGCAUGGUUUCAUUAUUAAAGGAUUCCGGUAAAGGAUGGGGAUGCGUUCCAUUAGGUUGUUGGUGGGGUAACGGCCCACCAAGCCUUCGAUGGAUAGGGGUUCUGAGAGGAAGGUCCCCCACAUUGGAACUGAGACACGGUCCAAACUCCUACGGGAGGCAGCAGUGAGGAAUAUUGGUCAAUGGGCGCUAGCCUGAACCAGCCAAGUAGCGUGAAGGAUGAAGGCUCUAUGGGUCGUAAACUUCUUUUAUAUAAGAAUAAAGUGCAGUAUGUAUACUGUUUUGUAUGUAUUAUAUGAAUAAGGAUCGGCUAACUCCGUGCCAGCAGCCGCGGUAAUACGGAGGAUCCGAGCGUUAUCCGGAUUUAUUGGGUUUAAAGGGAGCGUAGGUGGACUGGUAAGUCAGUUGUGAAAGUUUGCGGCUCAACCGUAAAAUUGCAGUUGAUACUGUCAGUCUUGAGUACAGUAGAGGUGGGCGGAAUUCGUGGUGUAGCGGUGAAAUGCUUAGAUAUCACGAAGAACUCCGAUUGCGAAGGCAGCUCACUGGACUGCAACUGACACUGAUGCUCGAAAGUGUGGGUAUCAAACAGGAUUAGAUACCCUGGUAGUCCACACAGUAAACGAUGAAUACUCGCUGUUUGCGAUAUACAGUAAGCGGCCAAGCGAAAGCAUUAAGUAUUCCACCUGGGGAGUACGCCGGCAACGGUGAAACUCAAAGGAAUUGACGGGGGCCCGCACAAGCGGAGGAACAUGUGGUUUAAUUCGAUGAUACGCGAGGAACCUUACCCGGGCUUAAAUUGCAGUGGAAUGAUGUGGAAACAUGUCAGUGAGCAAUCACCGCUGUGAAGGUGCUGCAUGGUUGUCGUCAGCUCGUGCCGUGAGGUGUCGGCUUAAGUGCCAUAACGAGCGCAACCCUUAUCUUUAGUUACUAACAGGUCAUGCUGAGGACUCUAGAGAGACUGCCGUCGUAAGAUGUGAGGAAGGUGGGGAUGACGUCAAAUCAGCACGGCCCUUACGUCCGGGGCUACACACGUGUUACAAUGGGGGGUACAGAAGGCAGCUAGCGGGUGACCGUAUGCUAAUCCCAAAAGCCUCUCUCAGUUCGGAUCGAAGUCUGCAACCCGACUUCGUGAAGCUGGAUUCGCUAGUAAUCGCGCAUCAGCCAUGGCGCGGUGAAUACGUUCCCGGGCCUUGUACACACCGCCCGUCAAGCCAUGAAAGCCGGGGGUACCUGAAGUACGUAACCGCAAGGAUCGUCCUAGGGUAAAACUGGUGACUGGGGCUAAAU